GUAGCAAUACACUUUGUUUAGCUUGUAGCUCCAUACUGUUAAACCAGUCUUCAGGUAUCUCAAGACCUGUGGUGCUGCACUUUCUUAUUUGACCAUUCGAUUUUGCUGCAGCAGACAUACCAGGAUAUCUGACUGCAACUCGGAUCUUUCUGCUUCGCUUUUACCAUGCAGAACGUAGGUUGUCUAUCAAGCAGAACGUUGCAGCGGCCCUGUCCCCAGCCACAGACAGCCUGGGGAACUGUUGGAACGAGGGUGCCCACACCAAAUCGCUACCAUCAUACCUUCCGACUGAAACAAUGCUACCUUCCGUCAUCUUACCUUACAUCGGACGUGAUCUCGAGGGGGCUUCCCGCAAUCGACGUAGAUACCUCUGCAGUAGUUUCGGCGCUGAAAGUAAGCAGGCGCUUGGGAAGGGUGUGCGGACUACAGCACUGAUUACAGAGGCACCCACUGCACUAUCGCAAGCGCAAGCAUGUACCAUGGGGCAGUAAAUCGUAAUGUAACGGCUGAAGCAAGCUUAUCCUGGCGUUGGGUGUUUGAAGGCAACGGAGGCAUUUGGUUGCGGCCUAAAAACGUUUGCUGCAACUGUCUCAUCCUCCUACCCUCAGGGCCCAACGCUCUUUGAGCUGCUUUCGUACGGCAAGACCGCGCUAUCGAUAGCAGGUACAGCCUGGCAGGCGGCCGUCGCACCUUUUGCUAUCUUUGGCGUUGACCGCUGGGGUCUCAAUUUUCUUUUCUACUUUGCCGUCUUGCUGAUGACAUUUAAUCUCAUCGUUCAAGCGCCGAAGCAGUAGGAAGCACGCAACCCUGCACACCACAGGCACCGCAACCACGCCCACCCAAGCAGACGACGGGGCAAGACCUGGGUCACGAGAUCUCCCCGUGGACCACUACUAGAAUGUAGUUGGGGCCGCGAAAAGCGGGAGUCAGGCGCCUCGCCUGGACAUUCCUGGACAGUCAGGCGGCAUCCCAGCCAUGAGGCAUCUGAGUCAGAUACAUCCCGGGGCAUACAGCCGAGUUGACCUAUGUUACACGUGGAGGACUGGGCCUUAUGGAAUUCCAACUGGGUCGGGUCGGGCCUACCCCGAACGAAGGUGGCAAAUUUAUGCCCAGCAGGCUUGACUUGCUGCCUUCAUGUAGGCUCGCAAUGACAAGCAGAAGACGAAACACUCCUUUCUGCUACGCUUUGAGUGUGUGCGCUACCAGAUGACAGAUUAGUACGCGGCUUCCAGAGCGCUCUCCUGGAGCUGACGCUACGCGUGGCAGGUGAUUCAUACUCGCUCUCCUCUGUAGCGACUGCCGGUGCUGCAAUGGGGCUGCAGGUGACGGGUGGCAGGAGGAGGGUUGCUCUUUGAGUCUGUGCGCUGCAAGCGGCCUCGAUGCAGAGGGGGUUGUGGUUUGGACUGCAGGUGGCUCGAGGUCCCCGGCCCGGAGCAGCUCCAAUCGGGGGCUCGUGGGCAGCGACUUGCUUGUCUUUCAUUACCUUCAAAGAAGCAAGAUGACUGCGACAGCAAGUGCGGGUGGAUGGUAAUUACUCAGGUGCAUGGGGACCGGUGGGAGCUGUGCAAACGGCUGCUGUGCACCGAGUAUAUACUUAUGAUGAUGGUAGGGCUGGUAACCCUGCUGGCGGUAAAGCAGGGAGAUGUUAUGACUGAUCGUAACGUUAUCAUCGGUGUCACUGGUCAUUGCUUUGUAUGCGUCGAGCUGUGGAGCUUUGUAUCGCUUCGCAAAAGAUUUAAUAGCCUGUUAGGAAGAACUCGAGUGAAGGGUAUACUUAAUGGCUAAGUUACAUCACGUGCGGUUGUGAUUACGGUUGUAAUUGUUUUAGCUGGUUGCAGUUGUGAUCCUUUGGACCAGUAUGACAUGCUGCAUCCACGAAGAACCCUAAGAUGAAGAGAGGGGGCUGGAUGGGCGCUCCUACCGAUUCGCGUGGUGCUGUUGAGAGAGAGGAGGGACGUGGGGGUCGAGGCAGCCUGCCGAUGACAGGCAAUCGCGUGUUUCAGGAUGUACAGUAAGGGCUGAAAACGCAGGACAAGCAGCCAUGGCC
rnacentral:lncRNA from 1 species